UGGCUUUUGAGCGUUUUGAGCAGCCACGGAUUGGUGAAAUUUUGCGGCUUAUCAGCGCGAUUCCACGUGGGUUUUUUCUUGGAUUUGGCGACGGGAUCUCUCUUGGGGCCCGACGCUGGCUCAUCUGCAAGCAAAACAUGUUCUUAUCAUGAUUACUCGGCAAAAUGAGUCUGACCUUGGCGCGCCAUCUGGUGACAGGUUAGAGGAUUAGACGUAGAAAACUUUUUUUUGUGGGACUUUAAAAAGAAAAAACCUUUUCUACUUCAAAUUCUAUUAAAACAACUAUAAAUAACAAGUAACCAAAAUAAAUUAUAAAAUAUAAAAUGAGCGGUUCAA